rnacentral:rRNA from 1 species
UACGAAGGGGGCGAGCGUUGUUCGGAAUUACUGGGCGUAAAGGGCGCGCAGGCGGCCUUAGAAGUCAGAUGUGAAAGCCCCGGGCUCAACCUGGGAAUGGCAUUUGAUACUCUGAGGCUGGAGUACGGGAGAGGAGAGUGGAAUUCCCAGUGUAGAGGUGAAAUUCGUAGAUAUUGGGAAGAACACCGGUGGCGAAGGCGGCUCUCUGGACCGUAACUGACGCUGAAGCGCGAAAGCGUGGGGAGCAAACAGG